rnacentral:sRNA from 1 species
AUGUUCUAGUUUCUAACUAUACUAUUGAAGGAAGAAUACCGUUUAUCUUGAUGUCUUUUUCUAUUUCUUCGGAUUGUUGGAUAUAAUAACAUUUUGGGUCUUUAAAAACUCAUUGUUUUCUAGCCAUUGAGUUGUCUCUCAAGGAGCAAAGGCAGCAGUCAACCACCCUUUCCACUUUGUAUCCAAGCACAUCCAAUCUCUUAACUAACCACCAACAUGAAGGCCGAAAAGUUCGUGCUAUAUAUGACUUCGAAGCUGCUGAAGAUAAUGAACUUACUUUUAAAGCCGGAGAAAUUAUUACAGUUCUUGAUGACAGUGAUCCUAACUGGUGGAAAGGUGAAACCCAUCAAGGCAUAGGGUUAUUUCCUUCUAAUUUUGUGACUGCAGAUCUCACUGCUGAACCAGAAAUGAUUAAAACAGAGAAGAAGACGGUACAAUUUAGUGAUGAUGUUCAGGUAGAGA